UACGGAGGGUGCAAGCGUUAUCCGGAUUCACUGGGUUUAAAGGGUGCGUAGGCGGGUAAGUAAGUCCGUGGUGAAAUCUCUGAGCUUAACUCAGAAACUGCCGUGGAUACUGUUUGCCUUGAAUAUUGUGGAGGUGAGCGGAAUAUGUCAUGUAGCGGUGAAAUGCUUAGAUAUGACAUAGAACACCAAUUGCGAAGGCAGCUCACUACACAAUCAUUGACGCUGAGGCACGAAAGCGUGGGGAUCAAACAGG
rnacentral:rRNA from 1 species